UUUAUUAUUGGCGACUAAAAAAGUUAGUCGGGAAAGAAAAUAAACUAGGUUUAAGAAAUACACUCCCACACGCUCUAACUCUCUCAUACAUCUAUGUCUGUCUCUCACUCUGUGACUCUCUCUUUCUCUCUCACGCCUCUGCUCUCCUCCGGCUCUCUCUCUCUCUCUCGCUUUUGUCUCCAUCGUUAACGGAGCAUCACCGCCAUUGCACACGAGCACCACCUUCAAUCCACCAUUGGAGCAUUACCCCAGAAACUAGUGGACCCAACAAAGAUCGAUCGCUAGGUUGUCGUGAACUUUUCAGCUCGCUGCAAUAUCCAUGGCCUUGUUAGGGAUUUGAUCAAAUGUGGAGACAUGAAGGGAAUUCAAAUUGAUGCUCUGUUCGAUGCAUUUGAAGAGAGUCCACAAUAUAGGCGGGCCCCACCUCUUGUUAGAGUGGAAAAAAUGUUUGAAGAUAUACAAUCCAAACUUCCUGGGGCUCCUCAAUUUCUUCUCUGUCUACUUCUAGAGAGGAAGAACUUUGAUCUAUAUGGUUUGUUUGAUUUGAUUUAUUCCUUUAUCACACUUUUUCUUUUUUCUUUUUUUCUUUUACUAGCCAUUACAACAGAUAGUACUUUUAAUAACAUAUUUUUAUAGCCUUUUUUUAUUAAAAUGUUAUUAAUUAUGGAGCAUUUAUAGCAUUUUGUGAUUAAAUGACUUGAGGUGCUAACAUUAGAUAUUUGUAGCAUUGAAUUGUAAUUUUUAAUAACCUUUUAUAAAUGUUGUGAAAAAUUACACAGAUUAAGGAUUAAUGGCAUUUAAAAAAUGUUGUCGUUGGGAUAAUAUAUACAAAAAAAAAAGAAGUUAUAUUGAACCCAUAAAAAAAACAUUAUAUUGAAAAACCAAAAAAGUUCGGCGCGAAAAUAUCGCACACCUAGAUUAGAGAUAGAAACCUACUACAAGUCAGGUUCCUAAUUUCGCUCAUUAUGGACUAUGAGCAAUCACAGUGCUAGGGCUUCGAUACAAGUUGAAGGUAAUUCUCUCUCUAUCUAUAUCGCUCGAUUUAUAUACGUAUAAACACAUCUAUAUACUUAUUAGUUUUGUUUUGAUAGGAAGCCUCUAAAAAUCAUCAACCAAUCUCAAGUGAAAUAGAGAGAAGAAACAAUUCGAGAAUCAAAUUGGCAAAGUUCGGGAGAAGAGUCAAAUUCUGAAUCAGACUCUGGUGGUGAAUAGAGUUCAGCAAGUCCAUCAUCUGAAAGUGUGCUUGAUUCUUCUUCAGAGAUUGCUUGAAGAAUCUACUGUUGGAGAUGAUCAUCAAGUGCCAUCUCAUUUAGUUUUUGCUAGAUUUCUUCUUUAUAGCGAUUAGCAUAGUGACCUGUUUGUCUACAUUUGUAACAUGUUAUUGUGGAUUUAUCUUUCUUUUUAUAAGAUUUUCUCUAUUUGCCUUUAUAAGAUUUGUGAGGCGGAUUUAGCUGAUAGCUCUGUUUGGGAGUUUUAUAUUUUAUGUAUUUUUUGGAAUAAUAUUUUGAAGGUUUUCCAAAUUUUUGCUUUCUAGAUUUAGUAGGAUACUGGAUUUUAGUAUCAUAGGCAAAUUGUUCACAGAAUUCACCUAAUUCCUUUUUGCCUGUAAGAUUUUGCUUUUUCAUUUAAUACUGGAGUUUGAGAUCAUUACAUAAAGGAAGACCUUCUUCGGUUACUAUGCCUAUUAGCUGGCCAUAGGUGUAUUCUGCAUACGGUAUGGUCAUUCUAUUAUAAUAACCCUGUAAUUUCUUUCUAACUCUUUCAGCAAAAAGACUAGGAAGGCCGUCAAUAAAUUUAGCUUUCCAAUGUUCACUGUUAGCAUCAGAUUGACACACUACUUUCAUUAGGAAAACAUCUUUAUACCAUUUGAAAUGGGUUAGAGAUGGACAUCUAAGAUUCUGUAAAAGUUCUCUGCUCCUAUCAUUAGCACCAUCAUCAUAUCCUACGAAAUGAUGUACGAUAGUGUGGAUAAGUGUAUACACUGCAUCUUGUGUUUGUUCUGGAUGUCCUGUUAAAGGAUCGGUAUGGAUUUUAACUGAAUUUAAAAUUUCAUUUUGUUGGGUAACAGUUAGGAUAUUAUCCUACCAUCCUUUAAGGACUCCUGUAAAGCCAUUAACAAUAAAUAUGGCUAUUUGAUGGUCUGUAUUGUCAUUCUGUUGACUUACUAUAGAGUACAUCAUCAUUUGAUGUAGCAGUUCAAAUAACUGGUAUUCAGACAUCCUAUCCAGAUUCCAUUCAUAAAUAGUUUUACCAUGGUAAGACCUUUGAGUUUGAAUGAAAUCUUCUUCAUAAUGGGUAUCCAUAGGAGUAGGCCUUGGGUAGUAAUGCCUACUAGGUCCUGUUAAGGCCAUCCUAUUGGUGCCUUUUCCAUAAUUAAUCUUAUUAAUUGAGGGGGCAUCCUAAAAAUUAUUUUGGAUUUCUGCAAUUUGAGACGGUGAUAUAGCUUGAUCACUAUCUUCGUGUUGUUAUGGAUUGUGGGAACUUUGUUGUCUGGACAACAUAUUUAUUUGUGAGGAAUCCCCUAUUUUAAUAUCUUUAAUCUUUUUAACUAGGGCUUCCAUAAAUUCAUUAUCCUGU